AGAGUUUGAUCCUGGCUCAGGAUGAACGCUAGCGGCAGGCCUAAUACAUGCAAGUCGGGCGGCAAGGGAAGUAGCAAUACGACCCCUAGAGCGGCGCACGGGUGCGUAACGCGUAUGCAACCUACCCUUCACCGGGGGAUAGCCCGGGGAAACCCGGAUUAAUACCCCAUAGAAUAACAUGAUGGCAUCAUUGAGUUAUUAAAGAUUUAUCGGUGAAGGAUGGGCAUGCGUAGGAUUAGCUAGUUGGCGGGGUAACGGCCCACCAAGACGAUGAUCCUUAGGGGUUCUGAGAGGAAGGUCCCCCACACUGGCACUGAGAUACGGGCCAGACUCCUACGGGAGGCAGCAGUAGGGAAUAUUGGGCAAUGGGCGGGAGCCUGACCCAGCCAUGCCGCGUGCAGGAAGAAGGCGUUAUGCGUUGUAAACUGCUUUUAUACGGGAAGAAAAGGCCCAUGCGUGGGAUAUUGCCGGUACCGUAUGAAUAAGCACCGGCUAACUCCGUGCCAGCAGCCGCGGUAAUACGGAGGGUGCAAGCGUUGUCCGGAUUUAUUGGGUUUAAAGGGUGCGUAGGCGGCCCGUUAAGUCAGCGGUGAAAGUCUGUGGCUCAACCAUAGAAGCGCCGUUGAUACUGAUGGGCUUGAGUGCCGUAUGGGUACAUGGAAUUGAUGGUGUAGCGGUGAAAUGCAUAGAUACCAUCAGGAACACCGAUAGCGUAGGCAUUGUACUGUGCGGCAACUGACGCUGAGGCACGAAAGCAUGGGUAGCGAACAGGAUUAGAUACCCUGGUAGUCG
rnacentral:rRNA from 1 species